rnacentral:lncRNA from 1 species
GUUAGAAAGAAAGAAAAGAAGAAGUGGAUAAGAAGAGAGGUAGUAGGUAAGAUAGAGAGAGAGAGUUAUUAGGAAGUGGGAGAAGAGAAAAGAAAAGAAAGAAAGAGGAAAAGAGGAAAAGAGGAAGAAGAGAAGAAGAGGAAGGAAGGAAGAAGAUGGAAAAGCUCAUGAAGAUCAUGUUCAUCACCACCAUCAUCUCAUCUUCAUCAUCACCAAUUGCAUCUCCAUUUCAAAACUUUCAUCUUCAAGGUGAGUUCUUAGAUAGAUUUAGCAUUUGGGGGAAAAUAACCUAUAUUUGGGGGGGUUAGGAUUUGUGUGAAUUUGUGAUGAACUUGUUGUUUUCAUACUCCUCAUCCAUGCUAUGUGUUGAUAUCAUGUUGUUGUUUUUGAAGUUGUGAUCCUUGAGUGUUUGAUGCUUAUGUGUUUUGUUGUUGAACUUAUGGAGGUUAAUCACAUAAUUUCAUAACAAUAUAUGUUUUAGUAUGGAUUGGGAGGGUUGAAAUUGGAAAAAGGAGUGGUUAAAAGAUGAAUUAAAAUACGUCACUGUAAUAAUUAAUCUAUUGACAUGAAUUAAUUAUUUGAUGAAUUAAAAUACGUCACUGAUAGGGGUCGAACCCAAGACCUCCUUGAUAUGGUACAAGCCUUACCACUAGGCUAAGGAUCUUGUUGUUGAAUAGUCAUGCAAUGAAUAAAUGUUAAUCUAAAUCUUGAUUAAGAUAGAUUAAUGAAUUAAUUGAGUGUUAUAAGGAUCUUGUUGUUGAAUAGUCAUGCAAUGAAUAAAUGUUAAUCUAAAUCUUGAUUAAGAUAGAUUAAUGAAUUAAUUGAGUGUUAUAACUCCGUUUUGGAUGCGGACGGAUGCGUUAGUAAGAUAACAAAAAAGGCUAUUAUUAUGAUACCAUGUUAUAGUAUAUUAUGUGUCUUACAAAUUCUAUGAAUUAUAUUACGAUGGGUGUUAAACAUGGUUGAUAUGUUUGAUUGUGAAAUAACAUGAUUAAAAACCUUACAAAGGUGAGUGAGGAAACCUAGGAGUAUAACAUGAUUAAUAACUUAGAAAGAUAAUCUAGGUUAUGGAACAUGUGUGAUAUGUAUGAGAAUACGGUAUUCAUUCGUAUGACGCUUAUGUGGAGGUCGUGGACAAAUUGUUGCCAUGAUUGAAAAUGAGACGCAUUGUAUGGGACAUGCCAUGUUAUUAUUUUUGUAUUAUGGUGAAUGAAGUCACCUGUGAUUGUUGGAUUUGUUUAUGGUUCGUGGAACCGAUGAUUGUGGAACCGAUCAUGUAUUCAGAAUUUGUGUUUUCUGUGAUGGUACACAUCUCUUUUGGUAUGCUUAGACGAGUAAGCAUUGGGAUGUGGGACCAAUGAUUUGAGGCUCAACUGGGUUUGAGCCCCAACCAUGGCGAACAUGGGGGAAAUGUGGACACCAAAGUGGGAUAAGGCCCAUACGGUGAAAGAGACUCAAAGUGGGUAAAGUCUCAUACGAGUGGUGGUUCUUAAAAGUGGGUUCGAGUCCCAUAUGGGAACCUGAUAUCCACCGUGAAAUUCGAAUCAUACGAGCAUGCAUGAACCAGGCCUGGCUUAGACGUAAGUCCGUUCAGGAAUUGAUGUUUCGUGAUCUGAAUAAUGAUCGUGGUUGAGUUAUGAGAACUCAAAUGCAUGUUGCCAUACAAUUGCGAGAUAGUUUCCCCAUCUCUCAAGUCUUCGUUCCCUUGUUGACUUGAGUUGGAUAUGAGUUGAAUAUUGAUUAGAAAACCCUGUAGAGCCGAGUGGACCCAUAGGAUAGGAGAACUCACUGAGAUUAUUAUCUCAUCCCAUUAUUGUUGUUAUUUUUCAGGUAUUCGUUAAUGGUUGAAUUCAAUAGAAGCUGUUUAUGGAUGUUUCAAGGGACACAAUUAUUUGGAUCUUCCGCUGUGGAGUUGUGUGCAAUGAAGAUAUUGCACAUAGUUCUUAGAUUUUUAUUGUUUAGGCACUAUUGUAUAACAUGUUCCAUUGAUGUUUUUAGUUUGGACAUGUGUAUAUAUUGAUGCCAUUAGGCACUUAUGUUGGAUCAGUACCAAUUAUUAACACUUGUAUGAUAUUAUUCUAAAUAUAUAUUAUACGGGUUGUUACAACAGUUGACCAAUGUAUAUUAUUCAUGUAUGAUAGAAAAAAUAGAUGUUUAUGGGCUGAAA